rnacentral:rRNA from 3 species
UAAUAAGCGGAGGAAAAGAAACUAACAAGGAUUCCCCCAGUAACGGCGAGUGAAGCGGGAAUAGCUCAAAUUUGAAAUCUCCGACGCUUGCGUCGGCGAGUUGUAGUUGCGAGAAGCACUUUCUCGGCGGAUCGGGCGUGCCUAAGUUGCUUGGAACAGUACGUCGCAGAGGGUGACAACCCCGUUUGUGGCACGGCCGACCGCUCACGAUGUGCUUUCGAAGAGUCGGGUUGUUCGGGAAUGCAGCCCAAAACGGGUGGUAAACUCCAUCUAAAGCUAAAUAUUGACGUGAGACCGAUAGCGA